rnacentral:rRNA from 1 species
ACUCAAAUGAAUUGACGGGGGCCCGCACAAGCGGCGGAGCAUGUGGCUUAAUUCGACGCGACGCGAAGAACCUUACCUGGGCUUGACAUGCGGGGCAAAGCCGGUGAAAGCCGGUGCCCUACGGGGCCCGCACAGGUGGUGCAUGGCUGUCGUCAGCUCGUGCCGUGAGGUGUUGCCUUAAGUGGCGCAACGAGCGCAACCCCUAUCCUUAGUUGCCAGCGGGUAAAGCCGGGAACUCUAGGGAGACUGCCGGUGCCAAACCGGAGGAAGGUGGGGAUGACGUCAAGUCAUCAUGCCCCUUAUGUCCAGGGCUGCACACAUGCUACAAUGCGUGGUACAGAGGGCUGCGAUCCCGCAAGGGGGAGCGAAUCCCAGAAAGCCACGCUCAGUUCGGAUCGGGGUCUGCAACUCGACCCCGUGAAGUCGGAGUCGCUAGUAAUCGCGGAUCAGCAACGCCGCGGUGAAUACGUUCCCGGGCCUUGCACACACCGCCCGU